CAUCAAGAGGCCCCGCCUCCCCCGUGCUGAGGGGCGGGCAUAAGACGCACUGCUCCAAUCAGAUGCUCCCAUGGAGCUGACUCCUGCCCUGGCAGCCGCGGAGCUCUAGGCAGGACAGCUUGAGCCCCAUGUCGGCGCCGCUGCAGGCCUGUGGAGAGAAGAGAGCGCUCAGCCUGACAAUGGAGAUUGGAAGAGCUGAGCGUGCCUGGGCCCAGUGCACGGGGAAUUAGAAGCAUCCCAUGCUGGGCGCCCAACCUCCCUGUGACCAGGAGGCCUUAGAACCCUGAGAGACAGACCCUGAAAGGCCUGGCUGCUCCUGACCCGCCGCCCCCGCCCAGUGAGCUGGGCAUCAAAGCCAAACAGUCACAGGAUCCCCUCUGGUGACAGGGACAGGCAACUGCAGGAACUGACUACCCGCCCAGCGUGACAGCACAGGCCUGUAAGCCUCAGCACUGUGGAAGCUGAGGCAGGAGGAGCUCAAGUCUGAACACCGCUUGGGUAACUCCGUAAGACUGUGUCAAAAGUGAAAAGUAAAUGAAAGCAAGUAA